rnacentral:lncRNA from 1 species
UAAAUUGAGUUUUUGGCUAACUUAUUUUUUGUUAAUUUUGGUGCUUUUGAAUGAAUAAAGAUAUUCGUCUAAGUAAAGGUGAUCUCCGGUUCAAAAUCCUGCAAAAAAGUAAACUGAAGCAACGUCAAAAUGCCCUGCAGAAUGGAACGGACCUUCGAAACAUUCUGUCAAGGCCUGGUCAAUCUUCAUCGAAUAGCCUAGGUAUGCGGGCAAGGGUGCCUGAGCCAAAGGAGAUGAGGCUGCAGCAUACAGAUCCUAGGGAUGGUAGACAACAUUUUCCAGAGACACGUGAUGGUAGGCAGCUAAUGACUAUGACCAGGGAUUCUAGACAGGGCACCCCUGACUACAGAGAACAGAACAUACCUGGCCUUAGGGAGCAACGCAUGCCUGACCCCAGGCAAAAGCGCAUGCCUGAAUUCAGGGAAGCUAGACGAAGCUUUCCUGAACUAAAGGAUGUUAGUCGUAGCAUGCCCGAGCCAAGUCAUUCUACUAUAAUGGGGCCCAUGCCAGGCUCAAGAACUGCAAAUGCUGCGACCAAGGUGGAUUCGGUGAUUAAUUCUUAUUCUCCCUGGACUGUAGAUCGUUUAAGACGGAGAUCACCAGAUGAAACUUUGGCUAGUUCUAGUGGUCUGUCAUCAACCAGGAGAGAUGGUGGAUUACUGAGAAAGCUUCCAAUUAGGGCAUACGACGACACCAGAACGAGCACGUACAUGAGCAAAGAUUCUUUUGACUUUUCAAGGCCAACUAGCUCUUCAUCUUACCUGACUAACCUGGUUCCACCUGCUGCACAGACGAAGACCAGGGCACCAGUAACUGCCCCACUUCUUCCAGGCAGUCUUUUACAGAAAAGCUCAUAUGCGGUACAAUCUAGUACCUAUCUUCUUUGCUCUCCAUGAAAUUUUGCUGCCUUCACUGCAACAUGACUUGGAUAGUUAAUUUCCUUUAGUGGCAAUCCUUAUAUAUCUUUUCAUUGUGUUCUAUGUGUAGUUAAGUUGAUAUUUACAUUAUAAAUGUGUGAAAGUUAUGUUUGGAAGAUGAUCCCUGUUGUCAAAUUAGGAUUGCCACAAUAUUUUCUUAGACUGAGAUGCCCUGAUCACAUGAAAUAAAUGACACCAAGAAUUGAAGUCCCCCUCCCCUCCCCUCCCCCCCAACCACACACAGACGUAAUUUUAUUUAGUAUCAGCUACUUGUUUUACUUAGUUUAACGAGUUUAGGUUUUCUUCUAUAAAUGUGUUUAUCCAUAAGAAUAUUAAUAGAUAUUUAUACACUGAAUACUUAGCUAAGGAUAAUGCUUAAGCCAUUCUAAUUUUUGUAGAUCCAUUCAUUACUUCUUACGAGCUUGAAAAUGCAAUGAAGCAAUGCAGUGUAAUUGUGAUAUGACGGUUGGUAGGAUGGAUAUUUGCAAGUUAGAGAUUACUAACAGCUGUAAUAUUGUUUUGCAGACAGCGGAGAGAUGGUAGUGCUGCCAAUGAUAUUGAUGGUAAAAGACAUGUACUUCAGUCUUUGAAGUUCUGCUAAAUUGUAAAUUGAGUUUUUGGCUAACUUAUUUUUUGUUAAUUUUGGUGCUUUUGAAUGAAUAAAGAUAUUCGUCUAAGUAAAGGUGAUCUCCGGUUCAAAAUCCUGCAAAAAAGUAAACUGAAGCAACGUCAAAAUGCCCUGCAGAAUGGAACGGACCUUCGAAACAUUCUGUCAAGGCCUGGUCAAUCUUCAUCGAAUAGCCUAGGUAUGCGGGCAAGGGUGCCUGAGCCAAAGGAGAUGAGGCUGCAGCAUACAGAUCCUAGGGAUGGUAGACAACAUUUUCCAGAGACACGUGAUGGUAGGC